GACGAACGCUGGCGGCGUGCUUAACACAUGCAAGUCGAACGGAAAGGCCCUGCUUUUGUGGGGUGCUCGAGUGGCGAACGGGUGAGUAACACGUGAGUAACCUGCCCUUGACUUUGGGAUAACUUCAGGAAACUGGGGCUAAUACCGGAUAGGAGCUCCUGCUGCAUGGUGGGGGUUGGAAAGUUUCGGCGGUUGGGGAUGGACUCGCGGCUUAUCAGCUUGUUGGUGGGGUAGUGGCUUACCAAGGCUUUGACGGGUAGCCGGCCUGAGAGGGUGACCGGCCACCUUGGGCCUGCGGUACGGCCCAGACUCCUACGGGAGGCAGCGGUGGGGAAUCUUGCCCAGUGGGCGGAAGCCUGAUGCAGCAACGCCGCGUGCGGGAUGACGGCCUUCGGGUUGUAAACCGCUUUCGCCUGUGACGAAGCGUGAGUGACGGUAAUGGGUAAAGAAGCACCGGCUAACUACGUG
rnacentral:rRNA from 1 species